UGAAAACAACCAAGCUAUAAAACUAAACUUCCACGUUGGUGUGGUUUUCCUUAAUGAGCCGUACCGCCUGUACGGCCAAACAAAGGCGUAAAUUCAUAUGGUUGUUGAUGUACUUAUAAUUCAAGAAAAGCCAAGUCUCGCAUCGCCCCAAGAUAUGACCUUAAUCCUUAUAGCUAGCAUGUAUAUUCCAAGAGUACUAGUUUUAUAGGAAAAUUUUCUUCAUCAUGAGAAUGUUAUCAUAUGUUAUAUACUAUUAUUACUAGCCCUACUUUCUGCAAGAGGCUAAGAGUAUAUAUAUUUGUAGCUAAAAUUUCCAUUGUGUGUGAUAUACUAUUUAUUACAGAAGUGCUAGGAUGCUAGCAUAUAUGUGUGCAAUAAAAACAUCGGCAUCUUCACCACAUUGACAUAUAAUAUUUAGUUUUCUCAAAAACUCAUUCUGCAACUCAAGUAAUCUAUAGUCAGGCUCUUCUGCUAUCGAUGAAACCGAAAGAAACACAAAAACCAGUGCGUUUGGUAUAGAUCAAGAGUUGUAUAGCUGGAUUCUUUACUCAUGACAUACUAGGAAGAAUUGCAGGAAAUCCUCAACCGUGUUGAAGGCAUUAUAACUACAGUACUCUACCUCCAAAAUCAAGAUCUACAUCCCGUCGCUACCCUUUCAGCCCCAUUUCGAUCUUACUUAUUGAAGUAAAUCUCCAUGAAAAAGGGGCAACUUUCGUGUAGUUUGUGAUUGGAUGUAACUGUUAAGAUUUUCUCUUGAUAAAUCUUUCUCUUAAUAGAUCUCUUCUUGUUCCUCAAUCUUCGGAGAAUGCGGCGUUGUAUUAUUGUAACUUUGUAAGUUCUCUG
rnacentral:lncRNA from 1 species